AUGACCUGUAGGGGUCAGUGUGUUGGCUUUAAAAAGGAUCAACAAGGAGGGGGGUCAUUUUGGACUCACACUGCACACCAUGCUUUUAUGGAGUGAGGGGUUAUUAGUAUGGAAUAUUAAAUCCUUCAUAAAGGUGUGCUUGAAAAUACAGGUUUGUCGCUGUACAUGUCAUUUGUUUGAAAGUUUGUAUAUUCAGAAAAUGACAGGUACAAAUUAAAUGUACAAGUUACACAAGUAGGAUUACAGGUACAAAACUAUUUUCAAGCACACCUUUGAAUGAAUGAUUUAAUGUUUCAUAUAUUAGCACCAAAGCUGUACAGACAUGCUGGAGUGAGCAGGUCAAGUGGUGAUCACAUGCAGCAAUCCAACACCCCAAUAAAUAAUGUCUAAUUCCUA